AUCCACAACCAGGGCUGGGGUACACAAAGCUGAGAGGCCCUCCAUCCUGACACCACACACGACAUGACACAAGUGAACUAUGUCUGUGCCAAUGAGCAGAACAACCAGACUUUGCACCCUGCAACCUUUUAACUUCGCAAGACAACGAAACGCUAGAAAGUUGUCAACGCGACUCAAACUACGGCGUCCGCAGGAAGCCAAAAAUAAGACAACAAAAAAG